rnacentral:tRNA from 1 species
UCCCUGGCAGUCUAGUGGCUAGGCCUUGGCGUUUUCACAGCUAUGGCCCAGGUUCAAUUCCUAGUCAAGGAA